CUAUACAUGACUCUGCGCAUAUCAAUAAGCGGAGGAAAAGAAACUAACAAGGAUUCCCCUAGUAACGGCGAGUGAAGCGGGAAGAGCUCAAAUUUGAAAUCUUAAAGGGUUUUCCCCUUGACGAAUUGUAGUUUAAAGAAGUGUUUUCUGUUGAAGGUUUUGGUAAAAGUUCUUUGGAAUAGGACAUCAUAGAGGGUGAGAAUCCCGUAUUUGACCUUUACUUUCAACUUUGUGAUACACUUUCAAAGAGUCGGAUUGUUUGGGAAUGCAGUCCAAAAUGGGUGGUAAAUUUCAUCUAAAGCUAAAUAUUGGCGAGAGACCGAUAGCGAACAAGUACCGUGAGGGAAAGAUGAAAAGAACUUUGAAAAGAGAGUUAAACAGUACGUGAAAUUGUCAAAAGGGAAGCGUUUGACACCAGUGUUGUUUUUCUGAAAAUCAAUUAAAGAACUGUUUAUGCUAAGUUGUUUAGACUUUAUCAGCUAACUGUUUAGUUUUGAGCUUUUCUUUAAUGCACUUUUCAGUUAACAAGUCAACAUCAAUUUCUUUUGCUGUAAAAAAGCUUGAGGAAGGUGGCUUGAGAUUCGUCUUAAGUGUUUAUAGCCUCUUGCCUAUGCAGUCGGAGAGAUUGAGGUCUGCAGCGUAGAUCCUUCGGGGCUAAAUGCAUUUGUGCUAAGUUAUAGCAUUUUAUAGACAACUUGUUGACUAUGAUUUGUCUUGUAGCUUACUCGCUUAUGUUAUUUUACCUACGCUUAGGAUGUUGACAGCAGUAUAGACUGU
rnacentral:rRNA from 1 species